ACGAACGCUGGCGGCGUGCUUCACCCAUGCCAGUCGUACGGUAAGGCCCUUUCGGGGGUACCCGAGUGGCGACCGGGUGAGUAACACGUGAGUAACCUGCCCACAACUUUGGGAUAACGCUAGGAAACUGUGCUAAUACUGGAUAUGUGCUCCUGCUGCAUUGUGGGGGUUGGAAAGCUCCGGCGGUUGUGGAUGGACUCGCGGCCUAUCAGCUUGUUGGUGGGGUAGUGGCCUACCAAGGCGGCGACGGGUAGCCGGCCUGAGAGGGUGACCGGCCACAUUGGGACUGAGAUACGGCCCAGACUCCUACGGGAGGCAGCAGGGGGGAAUAUUGCACAAUGGGCGCAAGCCUGAUGCAGCAACGCCGCGUGCGGGAGGACGGCCUUCGGGUUGUAAACCGCUUUCAGCAGGGACGAAGCUUUUUGUGACGGUACCUGCAGAAGAAGCACCGGCUAACUACGUG
rnacentral:rRNA from 1 species